CACACAUAUCACUCAUCAUGCCUCUCUCCCCUCCCCACACCGAGCUACCCUGCCGGCAGCACAGAGUGAACAGCGCCGUGCACCCAUCUGGGCCUGACCUGCCUACAUUGUUAGCCUAAAAUACUUAAUUCUAGUUUUCAGGUCUGUAACGAUGGGCAGAUUUUCCAUGACACGACUAAAGUCCAACGCCAGUGCCACUUCUCCCAUGAUGCUUCCCGUUCUCUCUUGUGCCCACCGAGGCCCUGUGGCUUUUCCUUGAAACUUCCCCGUGGCCCUCAUCGCGUGCCUCAUCUUGUGUCACAGUUAUCUGCGCAGCAGAGAAAAAGGAGCACAGACCUCACAGACAGACAGAUUGGGCUCAACAUGCACCUGGGCCUUGAGGAGAAUCUGCCUGUGCAGGGAGGCUCACAUGCUGACCGCGAGCAGACGGAACAAUCCUCGUUUGUUCAUGGAGAAACAAGACCACGGGUGACUCUGGGUAACUGAGACCUCAGGAAGUGAAACCUCAGAUAAAGGAUUCAACAGAGUUGGAUUGCUGAGAAUAAAAUUACGGAUUUCUCCAUAAUGGACACACGCACUUUUUGUUUGUGCUGUUUCCUUUAGAAUGGACGAUGAGUCAAAAUUGUUCGUUUAUGCUUCUUCACAGAAGGAUCUUCUGUGUCGUAGGAGGUGGCCUGCAGCAAUCUGGACAUUCAGUGGUCCUCCUGUGAUUAAUAGGUGAACGGAUGAGCUAUUCUGAUAAGAACUGGGGAACUUUUGCCAUUCAAAAGCAAAUAGAAGAACUGGGAGAUUCCUCAACUUAGCUUUUCUUUUUUUUGGUUCUAAAGUGACUGCGAAUGGAGGUAGAAGAGAAGAAAAGCUUUCAAAAACAUCUUCCAUUAAGAAAAAUAUGUAUCUUCAUGAAGACCUAUCUGAGUAAAAUUACUAAAACAUAAUGGCUUUCUUGAAAUAGAAUGGAAUGAAAGGCAUAUUAGGGAGUAUGAAAGUAUGAAGAUUUUAUUAACAUACUUCUAGAAGUUUAUUAAAUAUCUGCACAGGAACUGUAAUUUGAGAUCAGUGGUGGAAAGAGAAUAAAGGAAUCACGUGGACAUCAGCUCUGAGGCCUGUGGCCCCACUUGCUUCUGGGCUUUCUAUAGACAUUUGCUGGUGACCUGCCCAGGCAGGCUAGAGUACCCUUCCUCAUUGCACCCUGUGUUCCCAUCCUCUUUUCCUUCCUUCCUUCCUUCCUUCCUUCCUUCCUUCCUUUCUUCCUCCAUCCCUUAUGAAACCCUCGUUGUGCAGUUACUUAUUAGGUGCUGUGUGAGCGUCUGAAGUCUCCCCUCACCCACUUUUCCAUUUGGGCCACUUGGCCAGUGAUUGCAUCAGUACCAGGGUUCUAGGAGCCAUGCAGGGAUCCCCAGUGGGCAGAGCUGGCCGUAGCAUUUGGAAAGGAAGAGAGAGAACUGGAGACAAUGCCUAGGAACAAAAGCAGAGUCCAGACCCAGGCAUCAAGUGCAAAUCCAAAGGCUCUGGAUGAGUCAGUUCCCAGCAAAGGGACACAAGUAGGCACAGAAGGAAGGACAGCAGAAAACACUGGUCCAGAGAGGGCCUGCAGAGCCAGAAGCGAUGACGCAUCCAAGGUUGUGUUUGACUUCUGCACUGCCUCUGCAACCUGUAAGCACAUCUGAGCCAGUUCAGAAAGUAGGAAAACCAAAGUAUAUCAGAAAUGGCCUCUUAUCAUCAAGGAGAUUUUGGUCUAGAUUGCUUAUUGCUCAGGAGAAAUCACCACUUUUUAAAAAGAUAUGCUGAGAUAGGGUUUAGUUGGGAUAGAAAAGGUUAUUAAACUACGGGACACCCUUCCUUUACAGAGUGUAAGCACUACUACCCCUUUUGUUUGUCUGUUUUUCUUAUUUUUCUCACAGAUGCAGUUCCUGCAUUAGUAUUGAUAAAUGUGUGGCUGCUCCACUUGGAGUGUUUUCAAAGCAUAAAUCACAGCAUUGAUGGUGCUGUGGUUUGGCUCUUCCAGCCCUCUUAACAACGGUCUGAUGGACUUGGCGAGAGUCUAGCCACGUGUUCUGGCCUCUGUCACUCUCAUGGCUGAAACGCAUGCACACCCACAGAUGGGGGCCCCGUGGUAGAGAUGUGCCUCUACUUGUCAAAUAGACUGACUCCAAAUUCGGAAAUAUGCCUCAGGAAUCUAGAAAGAUAGAAAAGGAGUCUUCGUCACUGUAGGGUCUCAUUCACAAUAUGGAGGAGAGAUGGAGGGGAGUUUUUGGUAUAAAUUUUGCCUCAUAAAAAUUCUCCACGUUGUUUUGUACUGUAUGAGGGUAGCGAGAAAUUAGUUGAUGGUUAACAAUCAAGCUGGAGAAGAAUAUCCUCAAUUUUUCACAUGGAAAAUGAAAAACUACAACUCCUUCCAAAUAUAUGUAUGUUUCUUUUCUGAAGAUAGACGUGUGUGUGUUUGUGUGUAUCAUAUAACAUUUAUUUUUUGAUUUCUUUGUUAUCAACAGUAAAAAUACAGAAAAUGAUGCCAAAGAGAAUUUCUGAUUUUUCUUUCCUUGUUUUCCAUUAAAGUGUAUUACAAAUAAUGUCUUCAAACACAAUAGCAUGCAUAGUGGCUUAAAUUGGAUUCUUCCUGGGCCACUCUGUUUAGGAUCCAGGUUUUUAACAUUGUUCUUCUAAGUGCAUCCAUGUUUCCUGAGAUCCACAAAGCUUGAUCUCAUCCGUGGAACCACCUGGCCUAGAACCAGCUGCG
rnacentral:lncRNA from 1 species